rnacentral:other from 1 species
AGCGAGUCAUCUUUCCCCUUAUUUUGAGAUAAGACUCUACGAUACUACUUCCCAACCAAAUUGCUGUGUGUAGUCUUUGCCCAUCCCCUGAGGUGGGCUUUUUUUUAC